rnacentral:rRNA from 1 species
AGAACGAACGCUGGCGGCAGGCCUCAAACAUGCAAGUCUAGGGGGCGUAGCAAUACGUCACCGGCGGACGGGUGCGUAACACGUGGGAAUGUACUUACUGGUUCGGAACAACUCAGGGAAACUUGAGCUAAUACCGAAUGUGCCCGAAAGGGGAAAGAUUUAUCGCCAGUAAAUCAGCCCGCGUCCGAUUAGCUAGUUGGUGGGGUAAAGGCCCACCAAGGCGACGAUCGGUAGCUGUUCUGAGAGGAAGAUCAGCCACACUGGGACUGAGACACGGCCCAGACUCCUACGGGAGGCAGCAGUUGGGAAUCUUGGACAAUGGGGAAACCUGAUCCAGCCAUGCCGCGUGAGUGAUGAAGGCCUUCGGGUUGUAAAACUCUUUCGACGGGGACGAUAAUGACGGUACCCGUAGAAGAAGCUCCGGCUAACUUCGCGCCAGCAGCCGC